UACCCUUGACAUGUACGGAAGCCUCCAGAGAUGGAGGUGUGCCCGAAAGGGAACCGUAACACAGGUGCUGCAUGGCUGUCGUCAGCUCGUGUCGUGAGAUGUUGGGUUAAGUCCCGCAACGAGCGCAACCCUUGCCAUUAGUUGCCACAUUAAGUUGGGUACUCUAAGGUAACCGCCGGUGAUAAGCCGGAGGAAGGUGGGGAUGACGUG
rnacentral:misc_RNA from 1 species